rnacentral:snoRNA from 1 species
UGCACUUAUGUGUGCUUUUGCUUAACUGUGGACAAAGACUAAAAGUAGAUGUAAAAGCUAAAUCCUCUUUUGCAUCUCAGAACUCAUUGUUCAGUAUGUUUUGAUACAAAUAAGAGUGAUGUA